CAUGGGGGCAACCCUGCUCCAGCAUGCCGCGUCUGUGAAGAAGGCCUGCGGGUUCUAAAUCACAUUCGCCUGGGAGAAUUAUCCGGCGCCAAUACCGCCGGGCCUCUGACGUUAAUGACAGAAGAUGCACCGGCUAACUCUCUGCCAGCAGCCGCGGUAAUACAGAGUGUGCAAGCCCUACUCGGAAUCACUGGGCGUAAAUCAUGCGUAGGUGGUCAUGCAAAUCGGGUCUGAAAUCCCGGGCUCUACCUGGGAAUGCAUUCGCUCUACAUUGCUAGAGUUCGGUAGAGGGAAUUGGAAUCCCGCUCAGCGGUGAAAUGCGUAAUUUCGGAAGGAACCCAUGGCGAAGGCAGCUUUCUGGACCACUCUUGACAUUAGGUACGAAAGCGUGGGGAGCAACAGGCCAGAUACCUUGUACUCCCGCCCUUAAAUUCUAAAACUAUCCCCCGGGGGAAAUUUAAUUUCCUACUGGCGCACCUAACCCCUUAGUUUUUCCCCCGGGGGAG
rnacentral:rRNA from 1 species